rnacentral:lncRNA from 1 species
CUUAUUUGCUAGAGAGAAUUAGAAACACAAGGAUUGAUUACUGAUGAAAGAACCACACAUAGAUAUAUGUUUUCUCCAUUGGCCAGCAAUUCAACUGCAUGUUUUAGGAACCACAAAUAGCUUUGGGUAAUAUUAUCUUCAGAAACCCUGCCCUGCCGCCCCUCUGGUCCUUAUCACCAUCGCGCUCCUGCGCACAGGCGUCUCCCCGCUGCCUCGGCGCCUUCCGUAGCAGGUUAGGGCGGAGCUGAGAAUGAGGCAUCCGCACACCACUAUUCCUCCCUUUGAGCGCCGUUGAUGUGCCCCUGAUUAUCUCCGCCAAGUUUAGCCGCCAACUUCACUGGAAGCUCCACGAUGAUCCAGGUAAUCCCCAAACAAACCAUUGUCUGCUCACGAUUUCAGAAGAGAAGCGGCUGAGCGUAUUCAUAUGAUGAGUAAGAAGAUAAAUUUGUGUGGUUUAGUCACCGGAUCAACCGUUAGCUUCCCCGAUGGUGUUGUUAGUUUAUUACUACACCUGAAAUUACAUCUCAGCUAAAAGCUUCCAUCACAGUCAUGCCGACCUCACCAAGCUACAUUUUCUGAGUAGUUUCCAUACACUAACUCUUGGAGUUACAGGUGCCUUCAAGGACAAGCUCAGCGACCUCGACGCUGCACAAGGUGAACGAGCACGGGAAGCCGCUGGCCAGCGAGCAGGAGAAGCUCACCGCGGAGGCUGAUUUCAAAAUUUCAGAUAGGUAGGUAGAUGGAUGAGAAUGAGAUACCUUUUUCAUUUUUCGCCCAUUUAUCAAGAUCGGCCGAUCACGAAGGCAUGUAGUUGUUCAUAAUUAAUAUUGGAAGUGCAAGCAUUCUCAUAUAUAUAAUAGAAAAUUUUGGUAAUCCGCUCAGGGAGUGAUUUUCUCUAAUUCAUGGUAGUGCCCACAUGGCUGUAAUCGCCUAAAGAUUCAGCGGUUCGCUCUCACUAAUUUAGGGCAAACACCCGCAUCGUGAUGAUAGCAGUCACUGUGUGGAUAUGAGGCCAGUUGCAUUAUUUCUAGCCUCAUAUUUUUGUUUAUUGUUGUAGAAUGGGGAAGGAUGCCGAAGAUGUAGGGGACCAUUCAAGGGAAGAGAAGAUGCGCGUUUUUCCUUCCUAACCAUUUGAGUAGUGUUGUGUGCAAUUUAUGCUUGUUUUGAAAAUUUGGUUGUAAAUGUUGAAUUUAUCUCCAAUCAUCUGUUGUUCUGUAAUUUCUACAAACUUUCAUAUUUUCGCAUGAAUUUUUUAAAAUGUGUCUGUUAGAAGCUUGUAUAUCAUACAUGGAUUGGAGAACAUACAUGAUUAUCUCCUUUCAGACUGUUCGGGGUUUCUAGAUCAGAAGNNN